UACGUAGGGUGCGAGCGUUGUCCGGAAUUAUUGGGCGUAAAGAGUUCGUAGGCGGUUUGUCGCGUCGGCCGUGAAAUCUCCACGCUUAACGUGGAGCGUGCGGUCGAUACGGGCAGACUUGAGUUCGGCAGGGGAGACUGGAAUUCCUGGUGUAGCGGUGAAAUGCGCAGAUAUCAGGAGGAACACCGGUGGCGAAGGCGGGUCUCUGGGCCGAUACUGACGCUGAGGAGCGAAAGCGUGGGGAGCGAACAGG
rnacentral:rRNA from 1 species